CAGCGUAGGGGGCAAGCGUUUGUCCGGAUUAUUGGGCGUAAAGAGCUCGUAGGCGGCUUAGUAAGUCGGGUGUGAAACCUCCAGGCUCAACCUGGAGACGCCACCCGAUACUGCUGUGGCUAGAGUCCGGUAGGGGAGCGUGGAAUUCCUGGUGUAGCGGUGAAAUGCGCAGAUAUCAGGAGGAACACCAGCGGCGAAGGCGGCGCUCUGGGCCGGUAACUGACGCUGGAGGAGCGAAAGCGUGGGGAGCAAACAGG
rnacentral:rRNA from 1 species